GUCCUAAGAGAGAAGAUUCCGUAGGCGAGGGAGAAUGAAUAGUGUGCAGAUCGCCAUGCAUGUCAAGGCUUGUAUCUGCGUCUCCUGUUAGGAGCUGUAAAGAUCCCUAGGGUCCUCAAUGUGGCUCUAGAGUCCUUCAUGGAAUGGAGGAAUUCAUACAUCUUAGUGGAGAAGACCUUGUCCCUGUCGAAGAGGAGGACCUCUACUUUGGUCAGGAGUUCGCUUGGGAUACCAGGCCAAGACCCUGGAAGCAGUCGAUGGGCAUCUGUGUGACUUGGAUGGCCUCCUCAAGAGUCUGUGCCUUGAGCAGGCAAUCGUCCAGUUGCCGGUGUAUGGAUGCCUAGGGAUCUGAGUGUCGCUCUGGAAUCCUUCAUGGUGUGCAGUACCUCGUUGGUUUUUGCUGCAAAUAAUUUCUCGCCAUCGAAGGGGAGAUUCUUCAUGGUGUUUUGUAUCUUGCGUGAGAAAGAAAAAGAGGUAAACCAUGAAGCCCAACGCAUCACUACGGCCGUCGCGGUGGACCUGGCAGCUGUGUCUGCAGCAUUGAGGACAGCCUGCAAUGCCGUGCGGGAAAUAAUCUGUCCUUCAGAGACUACUGCUUUGAA